AAAUAAAAUUUGUUAUUAGACAGGCGUUGAUUUUAUUGCCUAUUUUCAGCUAAAAUAUGUUUCUCGUACAUGCAUAAAUAAUCAACAACUCGACAAAUAAUGUGUGUGAGAUAUCAUGUGUAUCUCUUUGGCGAUUUUCGGGUACUGUAAUAUAGUUUUAGGCUUGGUAAUAACCUAUUUUCAAGCGAUCGAGCUAGAUUCCUUUUACUAUUACUACGAAGUGAAAGGAAUAAUUGGAUUUUUCAACUCUGCAGCAGAUUUACCUGACCCACUUUUAUACGAAAAACAAUUUAAAAUAAACGGUCUUUUCUUCGAGAUACUUCCACUUGACGUCUACAAGGGACAUUUCCCCAUUGGCAUUUUGCUGGGAGUUCUGCACUCCGGAUCAGGGAUAUUAACAUUGCUUGGUAUAAGAAAUAAAUGUAAGAUCUAUUUCGCGACUGGGUUAUUUCUAAGCAGCUUCCUUCCAUACUUCAUGAUUUUCUUGUACUUGUGGAAUUUGUUUUACCAUCCUAGCCAUUCGACAUUUGUUCAAAGACUUGAAUUGGAUUGAUUAGGCUUGUCAAAUCCGGGAUGGAAGCUGCUUCAAGCCCUUUGCAGUACCUUCACUGAAGCAAAAUCCAACAGGAAGAGAAAUCAAUCAGUU